rnacentral:rRNA from 1 species
GAUUAACGCUGGCGGCGUGCAUAACACAUGCAAGUCGAACGAUGAAACUUAACUGAUUUCUUCGGAAUGAUUUUAAGUGGAUUAGUGGCGGACGGGUGAGUAACGCGUGAGUAACCUGCCUUGGAGAAGGGGAUAGCCUUUGGAAACGAAGAAUAAUACCCUAUGAUAUGAUAAUAUCUCAUGAUAUUAUCAUCAAAGAUUUAUCGCUCUAAGAUGGACUUGCGUCUGAUUAGUUAGUUGGUGAGGUAACAGCUCACCAAGGCAGCGAUCAGUAGCCGGCUUGAGAGAGUGUACGGCCACAUUGGGACUGAGACACGGCCCAGACUCCUACGGGAGGCAGCAGUGGGGAAUUUUGCACAAUGGGGGAAACCCUGAUGCAGCGACGCCGCGUGAUUUAGAAGGCCUUCGGGUUGUGAAAAUCUUUUGUAUGGGAAGAAAAUGACAGUACCAUACGAAUAAGGACCGGCUAAUUACGUG